rnacentral:tRNA from 1 species
CGGAGUGUAGCUCAGUCCGGUAGAGCACCGCCUUCGGGAGGCGGGGGKCGGAGGUUCGAAUCCUCUCACUCCGACCA